GAGUUGUAGUCUCUAGACGCGGACCCAAACGGUAGCACGGGCGUAAGUCCUCACGAGCGAGGCGCCAGGGAGGGUGAGAGCCCCGUACCGCCCGAGCUGCCAAACGGACCAAAGUCGACGAGUCGAGAUGCUUGGGAGUGCAUCUCUAAGUGGGUGGUAUGUCCCAUCUAAAGCUAAAUAUUGGCAAGAGACCGAUAGCGAACAAGUACUGUGAAGGAAAGAUGAAAAGCACUUUGAAAAGA
rnacentral:rRNA from 1 species